GGACCCGACCGCUAUCGGGGUAGGGCUAAGCCAUGGGAGUCGAACGCCCCGCCGCUGCGGGGCGUGGCGGACGGCUGAGUAACACGUGGCUAACCUACCCUCGGGACGGGGAUAACCCCGGGAAACUGGGGCUAAUCCCCGAUAGGCGGGGAGGCCUGGAAGGGUUCCCCGCCGAAAGGCGCCGUCGGGGGUUAUCGCCGGCGGUGCGCCCGAGGAUGGGGCUGCGCCCCAUCACGGUAGUUGGCGGGGUAAUGGCCCGCCAAGCCUACGACGGGUAGGGGCCGUGAGAGCGGGAGCCCCCAGAUGGGCACUGAGACAAGGGCCCAGGCCCUACGGGGCGCACCAGGCGCGAAAACUCCGCAAUGCGGGCAACCGUGACGGGGCUACCCCGAGUGCCCCCCUCGAGGGGGCUUUUCCCCGCUGUAAGUAGGCGGGGGAAUAAGCGGGGGGCAAGACUGGUGUCAGCCGCCGCGGUAAUACCAGCCCCGCGAGUGGUCGGGGUGCUUACUGGGCCUAAAGCGCCCGUAGCCGGCUCGACAAGUCCCCUCCUAAAGCCCCGGGCUCAACCCGGGGAGUGGAGGGGAUACUGUCGGGCUAGGGGGCGGGAAGGCCGAGGGUACUCCCGGGGUAGGGGCGAAAUCCACUAAUCCCGGGAGGACCACCAGUGGCGAAGGCGCUCGGCUGGAACGCGCCCGACGGUGAGGGGCGAAAGCCGGGGGAGCGAACCGGAUUAGAUACCCGGGUAGUCCCGGCUGUAAACGAUGCGGGCUAGUGUUGGGCGGGCGAGAGAGCCCGCCCAGUGCCGCAGGGAAGCCGUUAAGCCCGCGCCUGGGGAGUACGGCGCAAGGCUGAAACUUAAAGGAAUUGGCGGGGAGCACCACAAGGGGUGGAGCCUGCGGCUUAAUUGGAGUCAACGCCGGGAACCUCUACCGGGGGCGACAGCAGAUAUGGCCAGGCUGAAGGCCUUGCCUGACGCGCUGAGGGGAGGUGCAUGGCCGUCGCCAGCUCGUGCCGUGAGGUGU
rnacentral:rRNA from 1 species